rnacentral:lncRNA from 10 species
CUUGCCUUGGUACAGAGAAUGGAGCUGCAAGACUCCCCUGGUCAGAUCACGUCGGGUCUCCUGAAGACACCAGGAGGAUUCUACUGUGCACAGCAGUGUGUUUCCCAGUAAAGAAAAUAGGAUGCGGCCGUGCGCAGUGACUUACACCUGUAAUCCCAGCACUUUGGGAGGCCGAGGCGGGUGGAUCACCUGAGCUUCACGGAGCUACCUGAGUCAGCGCCUGCAUCUCCACCACCAUCAUCAUCGUCACUGUCUUCAUCGCCUCUGGGCUGGACCAGCCCCUGCCUGUGAGCUCCCUGGAGCCAGAGGUGCAAAGUCUGCAAUGACACAAAAAGCCAGCACGCUGGGAGGGGCUCUGGAGACCAUCUCAUUGUUCAUUCAUUUGUCUAUUCAAUCCAUUUUAUUGACUGCUCACUGUGUGCCAGACACAUGGGCCCUGGAGAUACAGAAGAAACACGUGAGGUCCCUGCCCUCCAGGAAUUAAGAAGAUAAAGUCAAAAGUGCUGUAAAGAACAACAGGAUGAUGGGCCAGUAUUUGAAGAGGGAGUGGUGCCCUCGGGUCCCAAGAGGGCUGCAGACUGCAGGCCUCCCUGAAGUGAAGAUGCAGCAAAGUGGAAGACAGCACACGGAAACCAUGCAGCAGCUCCCUCUGGGGAAGAGAAAGAGGGAGCCACGUUGCUCUAUACCCUGUGGACUUCUUGCAAUAUGAACCUUCAUGGACCUAAGAAAAAUAAUAAUAAAGGAAAAAAUAGCCAGGUGGGCUGGUUCACACCUGGGAUCCCAGCACUUUAGGAGGCCGAGGCAAGUGGAUGACUUGAGCCUAGGAGUUCCAGACCAGUAACAAGGCAAAACCCUGUCUCUACCAAAAAUUAUCUGGGUAAGGUGGUGCAUGACUGUAGUCUCAGCUCCUUGGGAGGCUGAGAUGGGGAGGAUCUCUCAAGCCUGGGAAGCUGUGGCUGCAGUGAGCUGUGAUCGUGCCACUGCACUUCAGCCAGGCCACAGAACGUGUCCCUGUCUCAAAAAGAGAGAGAGAGACAGAAAAAAAGUUUGAGGCUUGGCAGUAGAGCCCUGAAUGAGGCAGUGGCCAGUCCAGCAGUGAAUACACACUAAGAACGGGCUGUGACCAUGUGGAAGGGCUCUUGUUCUCAACCCCUUGUGCUGGCCUCAGAAAGGAGAGUCUUUUUUUUUUUUUUUUUUUUUUUUUUUUGAGACAGAGUCUCGCUCUGUUGCCCAGGCUGGAGUGCAGUGGCACCAUCUCAGCUAACUGCAACCUCUGCCUCCAGGUUCAAGCAAUUCUCCGGCCUCAGCCUCCUGAGUAGCUGGGAUUAUAGGCACCCGCCACCAUGCCCGGCUAAUGUUUGUAUUUUUAGUAGAGUCGGGGUUUCACCAUGUUGGCCAGGCUGGUCUCAAACUCUUGACCUCAAGUGAUCCACCUGCCUUGGCUUCCCAAAGUUCUGGGAUUACAGGCAUGAGCCACUGCACCCAGCCAGGAAGGAGAUUAAAUUCUGCCUUCCCAGGAAAUACUCUGUCUGUGUAUUUGUUCAUUCAGACAACAAAUAUUCCUUGAGCUCCUGCUAUGUACUGAGCACUGCACUGGGUGCUAGUCAAGGUCCCUGCUUUCCGGGAACAAAUAGACUGAUGGGGUGGGCAGGGAGUGGGGAAUAUGGAGGUAUAGGCAGGGAAACCGGCCAUCAGAGCAGUGGUCAGCAUCAGGACAGGGGAUCUAAAGGGACUGCCAUCAAGGUGGGACAUGAGGGGUCAGGAAAGGCCUGGAGGUAAGGAGGUGGACACUGGAAUCAAAAGAAUGAACAAAAAGCCUGGGAGAGUUGGAGUGCGGUGGAUAGGGGUGUUCUACGCAGAGGGUGUCCCUGGUGAGAGGCCCAGCUCAGAAAGGGGAUUUCUUUCUCUCUCUCUCUUUUUAUUUUUAUUUUUUAUUUAUUUAAUUUUUUUGAGACCGGGUCUUGCUCCAUUGCCCAGGCUGGAGUGCAAUGGUGCAAUCAUGGCUCACUGCAGCCUCAAAUGAGAGAUAACAGCGUGCUGGCAGUCCUCACAGCCCUCGCUCACUCUCGGGGCCUCCUCUGCCUGGGCUCCCACUUUGGC